UUAAAUAUUUUUUUUAUUUUUUGGGCCGAAAUAAAGGAUAAUGCCCAUAUAUGUGAAUUGGGUUCAUAUUCUUGUUAAAGUUACCCUGCUUCACAAACGGCCCAAUAGUCAAGUUCAAUCAUUGUCAUGAACCUGAGGCCACUCGAUAAGUUAAGAACUUAAGAUGUUACGGUGUUAGUGUGUUACCCAAGUAUAUGGUUCAGAGUUCCGACUGUGAUUCUCCAGUGUUUCGAUUUACUGACACAUGUAAGAUAUGUUCAAUACUGUGUUCUCAGCUUUUUCUUUAAAUUUUUUAAGUGCAACUUGUGGCAUUUUUAUUUAUUUAAUUAUUUUCAUUCCUUCACUUAUUCUUUUGUUGAUUUUUCUUAAAUUUAUUAAUCA
rnacentral:lncRNA from 1 species